UAGAUAGCUCAGCUGGUAGAGCAUGAGACUCUUAAUUGUUGUGGGUUGUGGGUUCGAGCCCCACCAUGGGAAAAG